CUAGAGCGAGGAGGAUACACCCGUUCCCAUCCCGAACACGGUCGUUAAGCUCCUCUGCGCCGAUGGUACUGCGUGGGUGACUGCGUGGGAGAGUAGGGCGCUGCCGCCC
rnacentral:rRNA from 1 species